rnacentral:rRNA from 1 species
CAAUAGCGUAUAUUAAAGCUGUUGCGGUUAAAAAGCUCGUAGUUGGAUUUCUGUCAAGGACAACUGGUCCGCCCCUCGGGUGAGCACAUAGUUUGGUCUUGGCAUCUUGUUGGAAACUGUUGCUGCACUUGGUUGUGUGGCGCAGUGUCCAGCACUUUCACUUUGAGGAAAUUGGGGUGUUUCAAGCAGGCACAUGCCUUUGGACACAGUAGCAUGGAAUAAUUAGAUUGGGCUUUUGCUCCAACUUGUCGGUUUCUGGAGCUGAGGUGAGAAUUAAUGGGGAUUGUUGGGGGCAUCCGAAUUUAGCCGUCAGAGGUGAAAUUCUUGGAUCUGCUAAAGACGGACAACUGCGAAAGCGUUUGCCCAGGAUGUUUUCAUUGA